UACGGGGGGGGCAAGCGUUGUUCGGAAUUACUGGGCGUAAAGGGCGCGUAGGCGGUUUGCUAAGUUGAAUGUGAAAACUCUGGGCUUAACCCAGAGCCUGCAUUCAAUACUGGCGAGCUGGAGUUCUGGAGGGGAUAGCGGAAUUCCUGGUGUAGCGGUGAAAUGCGUAGAUAUCAGGAGGAACACCGGUGGCGAAGGCGGCUAUCUGGACAGAAACUGACGCUGAGGCGCGAAAGCUAGGGGAGCAAACAGG
rnacentral:rRNA from 1 species